ACCCUAUAUCUCGUUCUCCAACCAUCGAAACCCUAAUUUUAAGAUCAUUGUUGAGCUGCGGAGGCGACGCUCGACGAUGAGGGAGAUGAUGCACAUCCAGGGUUGGCAGAGCGGGAACUAAUUGGGGGGCAAAGUUCUGGGAGGUGAUCUACAACGAGUAUGGGAUCGACGGCAGCGGCAGGUACAUUGGCGACUCCGACCUUACAGCUUGAGCGGAUCGACAUCUAUUACAGCGAGGCAAGCAGAGGCCGAUGUGCUCCGUCCGUCACUCUGGCGGUGCUCAUUGGAUCUUAAGCCCGACACCACCUACUCCGUCGGAUCCAUAUUCAAAACUACUUGAUGUUUCUCGAGGAGAACUGCAGAUCUUGAUGUUUCUUAGGGCCGGCCCAUGAACAACAAUUUAUGAAGAAUCGGAGCAGAGUUACAUCAGCUCACAGACGAAGACCACCAGCUCGACAGCCAAUCGAUUGCUUCUCCAAGACCGGUUGACCAAAGUUAUGCUCUUCCGUUGCGGUAUGACCGACCGAUUGAUUGCUCUCUAUCUUCUUCCGGAAUUAUUGAUUUACUGUGCUUAGUAAUUAUUAUUUUCGAAGAAAAAAAAAAAGUCUCUUUGACUUCCUACCUAA